rnacentral:rRNA from 1 species
AUUGAACGCUGGCGGCAUGCUUUACACAUGCAAGUCGGACGGCAGCAUAAAAGAGCUUGCUCUUUUGAUGGCGAGUGGCGAACGGGUGAGUAAUGCAUCGGAACGUACCGAGUAGUGGGGGAUAACUGUCCGAAAGGAUGGCUAAUACCGCAUAUUCUCUGAGGAGGAAAGCAGGGGACCUUAGGGCCUUGCGCUAUUUGAGCGGCGGAUGUCUGAUUAGCUAGUUGGUGGGGUAAGAGCCCACCAAGGCGACGAUCAGUAGCGGGUCUGAGAGGAUGAUCCGCCACACUGGGACUGAGACACGGCCCAGACUCCUACGGGAGGCAGCAGUGGGGAAUUUUGGACAAUGGGCGCAAGCCUGAUCCAGCCAUGCCGCGUGUAUGAAGAAGGCCUUCGGGUUGUAAAGUACUUUUGUCAGGGAAGAAAAGCCUGAGGAUAACACCCUCAGGUCAUGACGGUACCUGAAGAAUAAGCACCGGCUAACUACGUGCCAGCAGCCGCGGUAAUACGUAGGGUGCGAGCGUUAAUCGGAAUUACUGGGCGUAAAGCGAGCGCAGACGGUUAUUUAAGCAAGAUGUGAAAGCCCCGGGCUCAACCUGGGAACUGCGUUUUGAACUGGGUAACUAGAGUGUGUCAGAGGGGGGUAGAAUUCCACGUGUAGCAGUGAAAUGCGUAGAGAUGUGGAGGAAUACCGAUGGCGAAGGCAGCCCCCUGGGAUAACACUGACGUUCAUGCUCGAAAGCGUGGGUAGCAAACAGG